rnacentral:rRNA from 1 species
AUUGAACGCUGGCGGCAGGCCUAACACAUGCAAGUCGAGCGGAUGAAGGGAGCUUGCUCCUGGAUUCAGCGGCGGACGGGUGAGUAAUGCCUAGGAAUCUGCCUGGUAGUUGGGGAUAACGUCCCGAAACGGGCGCUAAUACCGCAUACGUCCUGAGGUAGAAAGUGGGGGAUCUUCGGACCUCACGCUAUCAGAUGAGCCUAGGUCGGAUUAGCUAGUUGGUGGGGUAAAGGCCUACCAAGGCGACGAUCCGUAACUGGUCUGAGAGGAUGAUCAGUCACACUGGAACUGAGACACGGUCCAGACUCCUACGGGAGGCAGCAGUGGGGAAUAUUGGACAAUGGGCGAAAGCCUGAUCCAGCCAUGCCGCGUGUGUGAAGAAGGUCUUCGGAUUGUAAAGCACUUUAAGUUGGGAGGAAGGGCAGUAAGUUAAUACCUUGCUGUUUUGACGUUACCAACAGAAUAAGCACCGGCUAACUUCGUG